AGGAAUAUUGGUCAAUGGACGAGAGUCUGAACCAGCCAAGUAGCGUGAAGGAUGACUGCCCUAUGGGCUGUAAACUUCUUUUAUACGGGAAUAAAGUGGAGUAUGCAUACUCCUUUGUAUGUACCGUAUGAAUAAGGAUCGGCUAACUCCGUGCCAGCAGCCGCGGUAAUACGGAGGAUCCGAGCGUUAUCCGGAUUUAUUGGGUUUAAAGGGAGCGUAGGCGGGUGCUUAAGUCAGUUGUGAAAGUUUGCGGCUCAACCGUAAAAUUGCAGUUGAUACUGGGCGCCUUGAGUGCAGCAUAGGUAGGCGGAAUUCGUGGUGUAGCGGUGAAAUGCUUAGAUAUCACGAAGAACUCCGAUUGCGAAGGCAGCUUACUGGACUGUAACUGACGCUGAUGCUCGAAAGUGUGGGUAUCAAACAGGAUUAGAUACCCUGGUAGUCCACACAGUAAACGAUGAAUACUCGCUGUUGGCGAUACACAGUCAGCGGCCAAGCGAAAGCAUUAAGUAUUCCACCUGGGGAGUACGCCGGCAACGGUGAAACUCAAAGGAAUUGACGGGGGCCCGCACAAGCGGAGGAACAUGUGGUUUAAUUCGAUGAUACGCGAGGAACCUUACCCGGGCUUAAAUUGCAGUGGAAUGUAGUGGAAACAUUACAGCCUUCGGGCCGCUGUGAAGGUGCUGCAUGGUUGUCGUCAGCUCGUGCCGUGAGGUGUCGGCUUAAGUGCCAUAACGAGCGCAACCCUUAUCUAUAGUUACUAUCAGGUCAUGCUGAGGACUCUAUGGAGACUGCCGUCGUAAGAUGUGAGGAAGGUGGGGAUGACGUCAAAUCAGCACGGCCCUUACGUCCGGGGCUACACACGUGUUACAAUGGGGGGUACAGAAGGCAGCUACCUGGCGACAGGAUGCUAAUCCCUAAAACCUCUCUCAGUUCGGAUUGGAGUCUGCAACCCGACUCCAUGAAGCUGGAUUCGCUAGUAAUCGCGCAUCAGCCACGGCGCGGUGAAUACGUUCCCG
rnacentral:rRNA from 1 species